AUGAGGGCCUCCAACCAGCUCCUGGGCUUGCUGCUGCUCUGGCUUACAGGCACCAAAUGUGACAUUCAGAUGACCCAGUCUCCUGCCUCCCUGUCUGCAUCUCUGGGAGACAGUGUCACCAUCACAUGCCAGGCAAGUCAGAACAUUGGUAGCUGGUUAGCAUGGUACCGGCAGAAAACAGGGACCUCUCCUAAGCUCCUGAUCUAUAAUGCAAAAAGCUUGGCAGAAGGGGUUCCAUCAAGGUUUAGUGGCACUGGAUCUGGCACACAGUUUACUCUCAAGAUCAGCAGCCUGCAGCCUGAAGAUGUGGCAACCUAUUAUUGUCUACAGCGUAAUAACGUACCUUGCACAGUGAUUCAAGUCAUAACAUAA